UACGGAAGGUGCAAGCGUUGUUCGGAAUGACUGGGCGUAAAGCGCACGUAGGCGGCUUCGUAAGUCGAUGCGAAAGCCCCGGGCUCAACCUGGGAACUGCAUCCGAAACUACAAAGCUUGAAUGCUUGAGAGGUUGGUGGAAUUCCAGGUGUAGGAGUGAAAUCCGUAGAUAUCUGGAGGAACAUCGGAGGCGAAGGCGGCCAACUGGCGAUGCAUUGACGCUAAGGUGCGAAAGCGUGGGGAGCAAACAGG
rnacentral:rRNA from 1 species